rnacentral:misc_RNA from 1 species
AUUACAGCAAGAAAAAUUAAGAACCAUGAAAUGGUGAAAAGGAAAUAGUUAGACAUUUUAUUGAAUAGGUAGAGUGCAUGACUGAAAAUAAGGAAGUCCAAUUACCAAGCCUUUCUAGGUUAAAGGUACUAAAUAAUAAGAAGAAAAUUGAUAGUUUUCUUUAACAGUGGUUAAUUGUGGCUUAAGAUAACAGCUUGAGAAACAAAGGCUUGAGAAGGGGAAGGGAUUGAAGUAAAACACUAACCAAAUUCUUGAAAAGGAGGAUGAGACGUUCUUAACCAAACAGAGGACUGCUGGAUUAUGG